GUUACAGGCGGAGUGGUUAACGCGCUGGCCUGCUAUUGGAACUGUACGAUUGUAAUCGUACUUCGACUGUUAUUAAGCCAGUUCCUUCGGGAGCGUGUGUUCGAAUCACACAGGUGUCG